rnacentral:lncRNA from 1 species
UUUCUUGGCAUUGCCGCAAUUCACAACGACAAGGGUCUUUUCCUGCACCAAAGUCAUUACGCAGAGGACAUAAUUAAGCGGGCAGGUAUGCAUGACUGCAAACCGGUCUCUACACCAGUUGACAUGAAAGCCAAGCUAGCAGAAGACAUUGGUAAACCAGUUGAUAAUCCUACAGAGUAUCGAAGCUUAGCGGGUGCUCUGCAAUAUUUGACUUUUACACGCCCGGACAUCGCGUAUGCGGUUCAACAAAUCUGUUUAUUUAUGCAUGAUCCUCGAGAUUUACAUAUGCAGGCCCUACGGCGCAUUCUUCGGUACUUACAAGGUACAAAAGACAAAGGAUUACAACUACUUCGAAACCAGCAGAUGGCAUUAACAGCGUACUCAGACGCUGACUGGGCUGGAUGCCCCUCAACACGGCGAUCCACUUCAGGCUUCUGCGUCUUCUUAGGCGACAAUCUUCUCUCCUGGUCUGCAAAGCGUCAACAGACAGUGUCAAGAUCGAGUGCUGAAGCCGAAUACAAGGGUGUCGCAAACGCAGUCGCAGAGACUUGCUGGCUACGCAAUCUUCUUCUCGAGAUGCACUGCCCUCUACAGCGAGCCACCAUAGUCUACUGUGACAAUAUCAGUGCCGUUUAUCUCAGCUCAAACCCUGUUCAACAUCAACGCACCAAACACAUUGAAAUAGAUAUACAUUUUGUGAGAGAAAAGGUGCAGAUGGGGCAGGUACGAGUAUUACACAUACCGGCUUCUUCACAGUAUGCAGACAUUUUCACCAAAGGACUUCCUUCUUCCCUGUUCAUCAGCUUCAGGUCCAGUCUUGGCGUCUCAAAGCUCGACGCUGCGACUGAGGGAGGGUGUUAGUCAACAAGAAUAUUCCAUUCUUGUUAUGAUAUCGUUACCUAUAUACUUGGGCAUAUCCCUACUCUCUUGUAACGAUCUCCUCAAUAUAUACUUGUGUAAUCAUGUAAAUGAAUUCAAGGGAAACACUUCCACUUUCAA